rnacentral:lncRNA from 1 species
GUUCAGUUGCUCCUAAACUGCCUUUGUGCUGGGCUCUCAGAUAAACAGGACAAGGAGUAGCAUCACCUGUGCUGUUCUUGCCUUUUGGAGCAGGAAUGGUCAUCAAGAGCAGAAGGAAGAGCAGGAAUGUUAAACUGCCUCAAAGACCUCGACUGAACCUGGGAAAGGCUCCUGGAUUUUGGUGGUCCAUUAAGCCCUUAAAAACAUCUCCAUGUAAAUGGUGAGAAAAAUGAUAAACAUUCUCUAGUUGUCUAAAAAAAAUGCAAGAGAAAUAAGAAUGAGAUUUUCUAUCUGACUGCUGUUUUUACUUUUAUUCCCCCGUGCCUAUUUGGCUUAACAUCUUC